GGGUUGUGAGGUUAAGCGACUAAGCGUACACGGUGGAUGCCCUGGCAGUCAGAGGCGAUGAAGGACGUGCUAAUCUGCGAAAAGCGCCGGCGAGGUGAUAUGAACCCUUGACCCGGCGAUGUCCGAAUGGGGAAACCCAGUGCAAUCCGUUGCACUAUCGUUAACUGAAUACAUAGGUUAACGAGGCGAACCGGGGGAACUGAAACAUCUAAGUACCCCGAGGAAAAGAAAUCAACCGAGAUUCCCCCAGUAGCGGCGAGCGAACGGGGAGCAGCCCGGAGUCUGAAUCAGCUUGUGUGUUAGUGGAACGGUCUGGAAAGUCCGACGGUACAGGGUGAUAGUCCCGUACACGAAAGCACACAUGCUGUGAACUCGAAGAGUAGGGCGGGACACGUGGUAUCCUGUCUGAAUAUGGGGGGACCAUCCUCCAAGGCUAAAUACUCCUGACUGACCGAUAGUGAACCAGUACCGUGAGGGAAAGGCGAAAAGAACCCCGGCGAGGGGAGUGAAAAAGAACCUGAAACCGUGUACGUACAAGCAGUGGGAGCCUCUUUAUGGGGUGACUGCGUACCUUUUGUAUAAUGGGUCAGCGACUUAUAUUCUGUAGCAAGGUUAACCGUAUAGGGGAGCCGAAGGGAAACCGAGUCUUAACUGGGCGUUAAGUUGCAGGGUAUAGACCCGAAACCCGGUGAUCUAGCCAUGGGCAGGUUGAAGGUUGGGUAACACUAACUGGAGGACCGAACCGACUAAUGUUGAAAAAUUAGCGGAUGACCUGUGGCUGGGGGUGAAAGGCCAAUCAAACCGGGAGAUAGCUGGUUCUCCCCGAAAGCUAUUUAGGUAGCGCCUCGUGAACUCAUCUUCGGGGGUAGAGCACUGUUUCGGCUAGGGGGCCAUCCCGGCUUACCAACCCGAUGCAAACUACGAAUACCGAAGAAUGUUAUCACGGGAGACACACGGCGGGUGCUAACGUCCGUCGUGAAGAGGGAAACAACCCAGACCGCCAGCUAAGGUCCCAAAGUCAUGGUUAAGUGGGAAACGAUGUGGGAAGGCACAGACAGCCAGGAUGUUGGCUUAGAAGCAGCCAUCAUUUAAAGAAAGCGUAAUAGCUCACUGGUCGAGUCGGCCUGCGCGGAAGAUGUAACGGGGCUAAACCAUGCACCGAAGCUGCGGCAGCGACACUAUGUGUUGUUGGGUAGGGGAGCGUUCUGUAAGCCGUUGAAGGUGUGCUGUGAGGCAUGCUGGAGGUAUCAGAAGUGCGAAUGCUGACAUAAGUAACGAUAAAGCGGGUGAAAAGCCCGCUCGCCGGAAGACCAAGGGUUCCUGUCCAACGUUAAUCGGGGCAGGGUGAGUCGACCCCUAAGGCGAGGCCGAAAGGCGUAGUCGAUGGGAAACAGGUUAAUAUUCCUGUACUUGGUGUUACUGCGAAGGGGGGACGGAGAAGGCUAUGUCAGCCGGGCGACGGUUGUCCCGGUUUAAGCAUGUAGGCGGAGGUUCCAGGUAAAUCCGGUACCUUAUUAACGCUGAGGUGUGAUGACGAGGCACUACGGUGCUGAAGUGAUAAAUGCCCUGCUUCCAGGAAAAGCCUCUAAGCAUCAGGUAACACGAAAUCGUACCCCAAACCGACACAGGUGGUCAGGUAGAGAAUACCAAGGCGCUUGAGAGAACUCGGGUGAAGGAACUAGGCAAAAUGGUGCCGUAACUUCGGGAGAAGGCACGCUGAUAUGUAGGUGAAGCCCCUGCGGGCGGAGCUGAAAUCAGUCGAAGAUACCAGCUGGCUGCAACUGUUUAUUAAAAACACAGCACUGUGCAAACACGAAAGUGGACGUAUACGGUGUGACGCCUGCCCGGUGCCGGAAGGUUAAUUGAUGGGGUUAGCGGCAACGCGAAGCUCUUGAUCGAAGCCCCGGUAAACGGCGGCCGUAACUAUAACGGUCCUAAGGUAGCGAAAUUCCUUGUCGGGUAAGUUCCGACCUGCACGAAUGGCGUAAUGAUGGCCAGGCUGUCUCCACCCGAGACUCAGUGAAAUUGAACUCGCUGUGAAGAUGCAGUGUACCCGCGGCAAGACGGAAAGACCCCGUGAACCUUUACUAUAGCUUGACACUGAACACUGGUCCUUGAUGUGUAGGAUAGGUGGGAGGCUUUGAAGCGUGGACGCCAGUCUGCGUGGAGCCAACCUUGAAAUACCACCCUUUAAUGGCUGGUGUUCUAACGUGGACCCGUUACCCGGGUUGCGGACAGUGUCUGGUGGGUAGUUUGACUGGGGCGGUCUCCUCCCAAAGAGUAACGGAGGAGCACGAAGGUUGGCUAAUCCUGGUCGGACAUCAGGAGGUUAGUGCAAUGGCAUAAGCCAGCUUGACUGCGAGCGUGACGGCGCGAGCAGGUGCGAAAGCAGGUCAUAGUGAUCCGGUGGUUCUGAAUGGAAGGGCCAUCGCUCAACGGAUAAAAGGUACUCCGGGGAUAACAGGCUGAUACCGCCCAAGAGUUCAUAUCGACGGCGGUGUUUGGCACCUCGAUGUCGGCUCAUCACAUCCUGGGGCUGAAGUAGGUCCCAAGGGUAUGGCUGUUCGCCAUUUAAAGUGGUACGCGAGCUGGGUUUAGAACGUCGUGAGACAGUUCGGUCCCUAUCUGCCGUGGGCGCUGGAGAAUUGAGGGGGGCUGCUCCUAGUACGAGAGGACCGGAGUGGACGCAUCACUGGUGUUCGGGUUGUCAUGCCAAUGGCACUGCCCGGUAGCUAAAUGCGGAAGAGAUAAGUGCUGAAAGCAUCUAAGCACGAAACUUGCCCCGAGAUGAGUUCUCCCUGAGACCUUGAGUCUCCUGAAGGAACGUUGAAGACGACGACGUUGAUAGGUCGGGUGUGUAAGCGCAGCGAUGCGUUGAGCUAACCGAUACUAAUGAACCGUGAGGCUUAACCUUACAACGACGAAGGUGUU
rnacentral:rRNA from 1 species